AAAACAUUUCAUGAGAUUCAAAAAUCUGAUUUGCUUCCUCUUAUGUACUUUUUCACAUUUCUUUUUAUCCCUCCCCCAAUAUGUGAUAAUACACUGAUAUAUGAAGGACGUAUGCAUGUUUUAAAGGGCCAAGGAAAGAAGAUACUGAGCAAACUGCUGCUCUGGAAGUGGUCCCAAGUAAGAGGAGAAAUGACACAGGUGGCUCCUGCUUUGAAGAAGGGAAGAGAAAACAGAAUUCUGGGGGCAAGCUAAAAGGGAAACAACCGCGAGUGCAGUGGAUUGACUGAGAACUACCUGAUGUUCUGCAAUCCUGGAGGCUGUCCUGAGCGCUGAGUAGUCAUAUGCUGAAUGAUCGUCAGAACCUGCUGAACCCACUUCAAAGGAUAAACCACAUCGAAGCAACAGCACUGGCUUGGAAACUGUGAGAUUCGACAUGAAUUCUCUGAUGGAAGAAAUCCAGUUGCAUUAUGUGAUAGCAACCAGAUCAUAUGGAAUGCCAAAAGAAGCAGAACUUGAUGAAAGAAGAAGAGGAAGAGAUGGAGAAGCACUCAACCAAUUUGGAGUGUCUGAAGCUGGAGAGCUCAAACCCAGUGAUGACUCUGGUAAGAACUCAUUUCCUCAUUAUCUAUCAUUAUCUCCUCUGAAAAUGUAUCAUUUAACGUUUGAUAUCUCUGAACAUAAGUCUGGCGCUUUCUUUGCAUCGGUGUCAAAAUAA
rnacentral:lncRNA from 1 species